rnacentral:misc_RNA from 1 species
AAGUCGUAACAAGGUUUCCGUAGGUGAACCUGCGGAAGGAUCAUUAACACGUAUCCACGUACCAACCCCAAGUGUCACGAGCUGCGCGAGCCGGUCAAACUUUAGUUGACCGUAUGCAGCAAAUCAAUUCAUUUUGAUUUGCUGCGCGUGCUCAGUUUUCUCUCUGCUUUUCCAUUGAAUUUUAACCACUUGAACCCAUCAGACUAAAACCAUUGGCGGUCUCCGCUGAAAGCCGAAACAAUAAAAUAACAAGAAACAACUCUUAGCGACGGAUUUCUUGGCUCCC